UUGGCAGCCUUAGAGGCUUGCUCUGCUUUAAAGAUGAGAGAGGGAGUCAGAAAGCAGGUUCUCUUACAUUUCAUCAAGAACCAUCCUUCAGUGUCAUCACUGACUUUUUUUUUUUUUUUCAGCAAAAGGCCAAAUUUUAUAUAAAGAGUUUAUGGAAAUUGGUAAGAAAGACAACUGGAAUAUCUAAUUUAUAAAUGAACAGCCCUCCCCUCACAGGCACGCACAAAACCAAACAAGGAAAAAACCUUCCAAAACCAAGCCAAAGCAAACAAAACCCAAACAAAGCCCAAGAACACACAACUCUCAAGGGAGGAGCUACACUUGGUAAAAGAAAAGCUUAAGGAAACAAAAGUUGACCCUCCCUGUAAGAAGUGAAACUAAAGAAGAACCAAAAUACCAGGAGCACCUCUUAAGUCAACAAAAACAUACCAACAGACAAGACCAAGUAAAGCUAUUGUUGCUGGCAUACUGAAACCGCAGAAACACUUUAAAAAACAUUUAGGCAUUGAUAUCAAAUACCAAAACCACAGUGAUCCCCCUUGGCCUGCUCUUUUGGAACUAUAACCCCCAGGAAACAUUCUACAUAAGACAAUACUAAUAUUUAACAGGACCUUUAGCCUCAUCCAAAAUAGUGAUAAAAAGCAGCGAGGAAAACAUCCAAUAAAAUGGCAAAUUCACUAAAGUACAUCCAUUCAUUGGAAUACUACACAACCAUCUAAAUGAUACUCUUAAGGCUAUGUAGCAAUAGGAAAAUGCUUAUAGUGUGGCAAGUGAAAUGUGAAUAUAAAACUAACUAUAUUUUAUCAUCACAACUAUGCAAGUCCUGUGCAUGUACAUGGAGAUUAAAGAGAGAUGGAUGCAGCAAAACACAACUUCCUAUUCCGCAAAGUCUGGCUGCCUCUCCCAGAGUGUUGGGCUCCGUGGAGGGCACAGGAAUUUACACAUUAAAGCCUUCAGAACUUCUCUAGAGGCCUGAUUCAGGAUGGACUUGGACUAAUUUUUAUAUUAUACAACACGAACAUGAUGAACUUUCAUGGAUUUUUAUGUCAGAGGUCAAGGUGCUUACUUUGCUUUGAUUUAUUGUUUUCUUCUAGUGCUCAAACUGCACCUCUCAUAGAUAUAGCCUGGUGAUGCUCUCCCAAUUUCAGCCUCUCUGUUCUGGCAAGACAGACCUAGAUACUAUUUCUGCCUAUGGAAUUUCAACCCGGGCUCUACGUAAAAUGAGCUUGCUGUGUCCUCUACAUUUUUAUUUACAGGAGUUUGGUUGCAAUCAUCAUGAAAGGACUCUCCCAUGGAGUUUUGGUGCAUUCAUAUCUAGUAAAACUGGGUUAUCACAA